CGGGGUUCAACUGGCUUGUCCGCGGGACGUCCUGCCGGUGGGCUUAGCCCGCAAGGGCGGCCCAACUUCCAUCCCAUCGCGGUGCUCUUCACUGAGUGUCGAGGUGGGCCGGCACGUUCACUUUGAACAAAUUUUCCCGCUUAAAGCAGGCUAAAACUUCGCCUGAAUACUGGGGUGUGGAAAAAUGGAAUAAGACCUCGGUUCUAUUUUGCUGGUUUUCGGAACCCCGAAGUAAAGAAUAAAAAUAACUGAAGGGGGCCUUCAUAUUGCAACUUUAUAACGUGAAAUUCUUGGAUCGUCGCAAGACGGACAGAAGCGAACUCAUUUGGCAAAAACUCUUUCUUUGAUCACAAACUUACGUUAUAGGUUCAAGAGCAAUUUCAUGCCGACCUACUUCUCUGCUAUAACGACUGCGGCUAGCGAUCCGUCUAACCUCCUCACAAUGACUCAAGGGGGCCCUUCCCGGAUACCAAAACUUUUGGGCUCCGGGGGAAAUAUGGUUGCAAAGUUGAUCCUGAGGGGAUCCGAGAAAAGCACCCCUCCCAGAGCGGAGCGUGCGCCCCCAUUUGCUCAACACGGGAAACCUCACCAGCCCCGGACACCGGAAGGAAAACAAGAGAGAGCUCUUUUAAGACACGGUGGGUGGAGGUGCGUGACCGUUCUUUGUGGGUUGAGAUUUUUGUAAGGUUAAUUCCGAUACAAAAGGAGACUAUCGCCAGCUAUCUUGGCGUAUUUUCGACAUCUAAGAGGUUCGUUGUCCCGGCCUUGCCAUUGUGGGCGGGCGGGAUUUUUUCCGUCGGCGUACUAUCAAUUGUUUUUAGAGGGACAGAAGG
rnacentral:rRNA from 1 species